CAUUGAGUCCCUAGAACUAAUUAGGUUCAAACCCAUUGCUUUAACUGUAUUUGUGCCAUUUUCUUCAGCCUGAAUUUCUGCUUGCUAGCACAGCUCAGUAACCCUGGAAUGUGACAAUUUCCAGGCUUCUUUGGAGCAAAAAAAAGUUUAUAAAUUUUCAAAAUCUACCAUCACAUUUAUUUCAGGAUUUCUAGAGGAUAAACAACCUCUCUGAAGCCUUCAAGACAGUAUGUCUGAGUGCACCACAACCUAAAAUCUAUCAUAAGUAAUCCAUUGCUCAGGAUUUUCAGAGCCAUCUGCUCCUGCUAAUAUCCCAUUGAAAAUGAAGAAUAUAUUCAGCUGCUUCUUCUAUACACAUAAAUUAAAAUCCAUGCAGUGGAUCCCAGAAAUAAGUAACAUCUUUAAACAGACAACACAACACACACCAGUCGGCAAGAGCUGAUUUCUUUUGUUUCCAUUUGUGGAGCAGCCAAAUUAUACACUGCAGUUUGAACAAAUCUAUUCAUAUGAUUUCAUCAAAGAUCUUCAUUUGUGGUGCUGAUCCCCUGGAGGGACAUCCCUGUGCAUCACACUUUCUUUUCAGGGCAGAAAAGGAAAACUAUGACCUAAGAACUCUGAGAAACAAAUGGAAAAGAAUGAAAAGUCUGAUCUUGUGACUCCAUUCUGGUUCUUCAUCCAGCACUGCUGGAGGAAUUACAUAGAAAGAGACAAAGUUUCUGCUGUUGCUGAGCUCCAUAGAAGGAACAACAGUAUCACUGAGAAGAUAAAGGAAUAAUCUCCUUCAGCUUAUGCCACAGGGGAUCAGAUGUAGUUCUCCCACAGUAUAGGUGUGCAGGAAGAGAAACCAAGUCUCCAGUGGCACUGACGCUCCGUAAUGGACUGACCACCUGUGGUCAGGUGUGGACUAAAUGGAGCUACAUCUUAUGUUGCUAACAAUACAAAAGUGAAAGAAAAGGUAUUUACUAAGCUGUAUCAAGAAAGAGAGUCAGAAUGUGGACGGCACUGUGCACUGGAAAUUUUGAGUUCUUUGAUUCUGUUAUACUCUAAAGGAGCUAUCAUGCAUAAGGCAAAUGUACUCUCCAGAGCUAGCUAAAAAAAAAAAAGAACAAUGAUGCAUAUUUCUUCUUUUUUGGAUUCUAAAUUUGAAAACUACUUUGACACUUACUGCUUAUUCAUUUUGAAGUGCCAUAAACACUGAAAUAAAAUUUACACUUAUUAUAAACUGCUUGUUCAUAACUGCUUGUUUCUCCAAGACCUCUGCAUCAUAAGUGCAAAGAAGUCCAAAGUCCCUGAUAAUCACAAUGACUCGAUCUGGAUUUUGUAUGUUCUAUAUUUUGAGAUUAAAUCUUGCUUAAUGUCUGACUUUCAGGAAGCAAAAACAAGUAUGAAUUACACAGAAUUAAUUAAUUACUUUCUGUAUGCAUGUAUUUGAAAAAAAAAAUGCAUAUCUGGGAAAUAAAAUUGAUAUAACUUUUCAUUUCAUUUGAAAUGUAGUAGCAUUAUUGCUGUUCAUUACACUGUGUGUCAGCAACUUGGAAAGUCAGUAUGACCAAAUGAAAAUAUAGCAACGUGCGCUACAGCUUUAUUCCACCAAAAUUAUUGGCUCUGAACAUGUACCUCUAGACUUGUAAUUCUGGUAGUUUAUAGGAUUUUCACUUAAUUUCCCUGGGGACGUGUCUCUAAAUGGCUAAGUCAAGUGGGAAAGUUAAAGAAUACAAAAUAUACCAAAGACUAAUGUUUCAUUUACAGCAAGAGUGGCAAAGUAGGAAUGGUUAUCAAGAAUAAAUAAAUAAGAAAGAUCUGGAAACAUUUGAAUGACCUCGUUAUUGGAAAUACUGCAUAUAUAUCUUGGUCCUGCAUUAUUAUUGCAUGCAGGAUUUUCCCUUACACGCGCCUGAUGAACUGCCACUUGUGCUUUUUCUAGCAGCACGAAGGAGUAAACACUGGUCAGCAUACUUACAGCUGUACUGGGGCCUAAUAGAAAAGAGGAAAAUUGCACCAGUAAAGAAACCCACAGCUUUCCCUGCCACACCCCACUGCUCACCUCAGCAACUCCCCAGCAGGCAUGAGUUUCCUUUUCUUGUGACAGCUAGCCCAGAACUCUCCCUUCCAGCCUUAGGACCCUGGGAAGUUACUGUGUCACCUGCUGAAGGCUGGCUUUUAUACAAAGGGCCAGUGUUACAGCCCUC